ACUCAGGAUCUGCUCUCCGGCAAAGUAGUAAGUGAGGUGCUGAGAGCAGAAUGAGCUACUUUGUGGAUUCUGCUGGGAGCAGCCCCGUCCCUUACUCAGCGCCUCGUCCUGCAGUGGUGUGAAAUACGGACAGAUAAGUUUAUUUUAUUUAUUUUUUUCUUUUUCUUUUUUUUUUUUCUGUCACUCAGGCUGGAGUGCAGUGGCACAAUCUUGGCUCACUCCAACCUCUAUCUUCUGGGUUCAAGCAAUUCUCCUGCCUUAGCCUCCCAAGUAGCUGGGAUUACAGACCUGCACCACCACGCCUGGCUAAUUUUUGUAUUUUUAGUAGAGAAGGGGUUUCACCAUGUUGGCCAGGCUGGUCUCGAACUCAUG
rnacentral:lncRNA from 1 species